CCCAUCCACUUUGUCAACACGUUUAACUUGUAACCACGUGGGCAAGAGUUUUCACUGGAGCUGCAUCGGUUUGCCUAACCCCCUCAUGAAAAUACAGCCACAGCUCGGGUGGGGAUGGACUGCUCCUCAGCAAUCCCCUGAGAGGAAAACUCCACCAGGCACCGUCCCGUUCUCACAAGAAGCCUCAGUGUAUCUUUAAUGUGCAGGAAGAGCACGCAAGACCUGUUUUAAGACAUGACCCACUGGCUUCCUGAUUCUGCCUAUUGUACUCCAGCUCACUGGCAAGAAAGUGACAGAAGAUCCUAACAAAGAACCAAGAGAAAAGGGGCCAAGAUGAGAAAAUCACCAAGCCCUUCCUACAGAUGAGCAUCUUCAACCAUGUAUGUGCCUUGCCCGGACCUUCUACAAACCACUCUUCACAAAGUUUGCCAGAUAUCGUCAAUGUCACCUCUCCCCUUAGAGAUUGCCACAAACACAGGUAGAUCUAAUUGAGUAUCACUGUCUAAGAGGGUUCGUUACUAGCACUUGCCUGACCAAGUUGGAGCCAGCCAACAUGGGUUUAAGCAAAUGGAGUCUAGUUCUGUUGGUCUACAACCCCUUGCAACUCCACAUCCCUCCACUUUAAGUACUACCUUCAAGUUGUUUCAUGCAGGUGGAUUCCUGUGCCUACAAAGGGCCCCAUUGUCUUCAGUGCAGAUGUCUACUUGUGAGCACCAGUG